UGGGGAAGGCCGCAUCCUGAGCUGUGUCCCCGCGCCCUGUGCUCCCGGGCCUGCGCUGUUGGAUUCGUGGUCCCACGCGCAGCCCCCU
rnacentral:pre_miRNA from 1 species